rnacentral:lncRNA from 1 species
UGAACACCAUGCAGAACAGAGAUGUGGAUGGAUCAUGAGCAAGAAACAAACCUUGUUGUCAAGGUCUAGGCAUAACUUGGUUUCAUAACAUGACCUGGAUUAUAUUAGUUAAGGUUCAGGUGAUAUGGAAUAAGGGAUUUAUUAUGGGAGAUGGGGUUUCUGCGUUCGUAGGAGCUCAGGAACAAGUUUAGGAAAGAGUGUUGCCACUGGUCUUGGGGCUGGAGUCCCUACAGAUCCUCUGGGCUUGAGGAGGGGAGAGGAAGGACAGAGUAGAACUGCUUGUCUCACUGCCUCCACCUCCAGCAUGUGGCUACCUGCAGAAGAAGCUGACAUCCUGCGCUUCCACACACACUCCUGCACAGAACUUGAAGGUGAACGAGGGGAGACUCAGCUGGGAGGAGGUUCUCCUUUGCCCAUUAUUCUUCCUGGCCACAUCUAAAGUGGAUAUUGUCUGUUUAUAGGCACAGCUGUUUAAAGAAACCAGAUGGUCUGGAUGCCACAAGUAGCCCCCUUGAGACCCGCUGCUGAAUAACUGAGGAAGUUCAGACCCACAUGAAACUGGUGCAGACCAGAGCAGGCGACCUCCAGUUACCUUUAAGUCAUUAACGUAUCAUUAUAAUACUAGAAAUCUUUCCCCUAAGAGAAAAUUGCCCCCAUUUUGUCUACAUGCAGUGUGUGUAGAAACAUGUUCAUGUACUAUGCCUGUGUUUGCAACUCCAUCCAGUACAUGCCCACAUACUUCCCCAGGCUUGUGCCCAACUCUCUAAAACUC